GUUCUGUACUGGCUGUCGUCGGAAGGGGUGGACCAAAGCGCAGCGUGUUUCCUGCUCAAACAUAAGCUCUGCUGGUAGCUGUGGAUCUUGCCUGUGAGUACUUCACUGGGUAGUCGUCACGCUCCUCCUUGGGUGGGCAGGAGCUGCAGAGGAGACCCCCUCCCAGGAUCAGGAGCCCUGCGGUGCCCCAGCCGAUGUAUAGCGAGGCCCCCAGCUCCCUCCUCUGGGCCUCGACCAACAGGGGGUUGUAGAAAUCCCUGAUGAUGGUGUUGGCGGACCAGCAGACAGGGAC
rnacentral:lncRNA from 1 species